GGAGUCUAGCAUGUACGCGAGUCAUUGGGACCGCACUAAACCUAAAGGCGAAAUGAAAGUGAAGGCGCGCCUCGCGCGCGUCGAGGGAGGAUGGGCCGCGUCACGGCGCGGCCCCGCACUCCCGGGGCGUCUCUCAUUCUCAUCGCGAGAAGAGGCGCACCCAGAGCGUACACGCUGGGACCCGAAAGAUGGUGAACUAUGCCUGGUCAGGACGAAGUCAGGGGAAACCCUGAUGGAGGUCCGCAGCGAUUCUGACGUGCAAAUCGAUCGUCGGAACUGGGUAUAGGGGCGAAAGACUAAUCGAACCAUCUAGUAGCUGGUUCCCUCCGAAGUUUCCCUCAGGAUAGCUGGCGCUCGCUUUCGCGAGUCUCAUCCGGUAAAGCGAAUGAUUAGAGGCAUCGGGGUCGAAACGACCUCGACCUAUUCUCAAACUUUAAAUGGGUGAGAUCUCCGGCUUGCUUGAAGCGUGAAGCCGCGAGAUCGGAUCAGAGUGCCAAGUGGGCCACUUUUGGUAAGCAGAACUGGCGCUGCGGGAUGAACCGAACGCAGAGUUAAAGCGCCCAAAUCGACGCUUAUCGGAUACCAUGAAAGGCGUUGGUAACUUAAGACAGCAGGACGGUGGCCAUGGAA
rnacentral:rRNA from 1 species